AUGGAUAAACGAGGUUACCGCUUUAUUCUUUUUAAAUUGUAAACUAAUAAUUAAGUGAAAAAGCUUAAAUAAAAAAGAAAGACAAGAAGACCCUAUAGAGCUUUACUUUAAGGUGAUUUUACUUAUUACCAUAAGGUUUAGUUGGGGCAACUAAAACUCAUACUAGCAAUUCAAAUUUGUAUAAAUAUGUUAGACUGCAAGUCUCUUUUCUGACCCAAAAGAUCAUUGAAUAUAGCUACCUUAGGGGUAACAGGCUGGUAUCUUUUGAGAGUCCACAUUAACAAAGAUGAUCGGCACCUCGAUGUUGGCUUAGGAUUUCCCGUACGGAGCAGCAGCCUACAAGGUAGGUUUGUUCAACCUUAAAAAUCUU
rnacentral:rRNA from 1 species